AACGUGAUGCUGGGAGAGACUGAUCCGGCGGCAGCCGCCGCGGACAGCGCCGAAGGAGCAACCGCCCCGGAAACUCUCAGGCAAAAGGACCGGUAUCACGCG
rnacentral:ncRNA from 1 species